rnacentral:rRNA from 1 species
AACGAACGCUGGCGGCAUGCCUAAUACAUGCAAGUCGAACGAAGGCUUCGGCCUUAGUGGCGCACGGGUGCGUAACGCGUGGGAAUCUACCCUUGGGUUCGGAAUAACAGUUAGAAAUGACUGCUAAUACCGGAUGAUGACGUAAGUCCAAAGAUUUAUCGCCCAAGGAUGAGCCCGCGUAAGAUUAGCUAGUUGGUGAGGUAAAGGCUCACCAAGGCUACGAUCUUUAGCUGGUCUGAGAGGAUGAUCAGCCACACUGGGACUGAGACACGGCCCAGACUCCUACGGGAGGCAGCAGUAGGGAAUAUUGGACAAUGGGCGAAAGCCUGAUCCAGCAAUGCCGCGUGAGUGAUGAAGGCCUUAGGGUUGUAAAGCUCUUUUACCCGAGAUGAUAAUGACAGUAUCGGGAGAAUAAGCUCCGGCUAAACUCCGUGCCAGCAGCCGC